AGGGAUAUAGAUCAGCUGUAGAGCUCAUGCUUAGCAUGCACGAGGUCCUGGGUUCAAUCCCCAGUACCGCCA
rnacentral:tRNA from 1 species